AACGAACGCUGGCGGCAUGCCUAACACAUGCAAGUCGAACGAGACCUUCGGGUCUAGUGGCGCACGGGUGCGUAACGCGUGGUAACCUGCCCUUAGGUUCGGAAUAACUCCCCGAAAGGUGUGCUAAUACCGGUUAAUGUCUUCGGACCAAAGAUUUAUCGCCUUUGGAUGGGCCCGCGUUAGAUUAGCUAGUUGGUAGGGUAAAAGCCUACCAAGGCGACGAUCCAUAGCUGGUCUGAGAGGAUGAUCAGCCAGGCUGGGACUGAGACACGGCCCAGACUCGUACGGGAGGCAGCAGUGGGGAAUAUUGGACGAUGGGCGAAAGUCUGACAAAGCAAUGCCGCGUGAGUGAUGAAGGCCUUAGGGUUGUAAAGCUCUUUUACCCGGGAUGAUAAUGACAGUAACGGGAGAAUAAGCUCCGGCUAACUCCGUG
rnacentral:rRNA from 1 species